AAUCACUUGUACUCCUAAAGCUAUUGAAACUAAAAAUAUUUUUUUAAAGAGAAAUGGCACAGAAAGUAGAGUUUUCCAGAGAGGCAAUGCAAGAUGGCUGAACAGAAGCCUGCACUGAUUGUCCUCCCUAGAGGAACACCAAACUGAACAACCAUCCACACAAAAAAGCACUCUCAUAAGAAUGAAACAUAAGGUAAGUGAUCACAGUAAUUGCACUGACUUCAUAUUACUGAAAGAGGAACUGGAGAGGUGUUGAACUGCUGUUGCCACCCCUCCCCUACCCCCUGGCAGUGGCCACAUGAUGCAGAGAGAAAAUCUGCACAGGAGCCAGUCUUUCCUGUGCUAUUCUUGUGAUAGUGAAUAAGUCUCAUAAGAUCUGAUGGGUUUAUCAGAGGCUUCUACUUUUGCUUCCUCCUCAUUUUUCUCUUGCUGCUUCCAUUCUCGGGUAUGUCUUUAUCAGCAGUGUGAAAAUGAAUUAAUACAGAGAAGAAUGGAAAAGGUGAAUAAAUACAGCACCUUCAACUAAAACACCCAGGAAUAUGCAUCAGGACUAAUCAAGGAAACAACCCCGCUCGUGAAGAAAAGCAAGGUUUUUCAGGGGAGCCAUACAACUGAACAAGAGUCUAUCAACUGACCAAUAUAUAACUGACCUGAAACAGACCUCGGAGAUCUCACCAACCAGUUUUAUCUGAACAGUAGAAACAGCCACAGAUAAGAUUUUCACAUUGAAUAGAAUGCCAUUGUCAACACUGGCUUAUUUUGUUACAUAACACACGUACUGAUGAGAAGAAAGAGGAAAACACUGAUUUAUGGUCUAAAUAAAAUCUUAGGUUCAACAGCGUCUUAAAAUAUAUACUAUAUGUGAUUCCUGGGAGAAGAUUAGCUGUGUUUGCUUCCUAUAUAACAAAUCUGAGGCUUAGAAAUUUAAGUGACUUGUCUGUGGUCAUUUAUUUUCUAAGACGGUCAGAGUAGAGAUUCUGUUCCUGAGCAGUGUCCUUGCCUCAGCUUGGCUAUUCUUUAAAUAAAAGAUAGUUGGUAUUCAGAAGUUUGCAAAUAACCGGAUCUGGGGGCCAGGCUAUAAUUAAAUAUAAUUGGUGCAGUCACUCUGACACAGUGAAAUAAAGAACAUGUAGGCUUUUUAUUUGCCUAAAUGAUAAUUUGACAUGAAUAGCCAUUUACUCAACACUCUAGUCAUCAUUAUUUGUAUAGAGGUAGAGCUUUUGGGAGCAGGGAGGCCAGGUUUGCUGGGAGUCAGAAAAGGGAAUUUGGUUUGAGUCAGAGGUCGCUGUGGGGUAGCUUUGAAGAUUGCAGAAUCUGACAUCUUUGAGGUGCGGAAAUGGAGAGAAAGGUGAUCGCUCAGCUCCCCUUCCAUGAAUGCCCUCAUUGUGGGCAGACCACAGCUGGGGUGACACAGCUCACCUUUACCAACGUCAGCACUGACUUUGCUGCUUGGGUACUCUUUUACCUUCUCUUCCAUUUCAUCCCUGUGUGAAUAGCAAGCCUUGAUAUCUACCAUGUUUGACAACUUCUGGCCAUCUUGAGCUCACUCACACUCUCUCCAGGGAUCUGCCAGCCCCACAGCAUCCUGCAUAGACCUCAAACCUCCACCCCCUGCUCUCUCUCUCUCUC